rnacentral:rRNA from 1 species
AGAGUUUGAUCCUGGCUCAGGAUGAACGCUAGCGGGAGGCCUAACACAUGCAAGCCGAGCGGUAUUGUUUCUUCGGAAACGAGAGAGCGGCGCACGGGUGCGGAACACGUGUGCAACCUGCCUUUAUCUGGGGGAUAGCCUUUCGAAAGGAAGAUUAAUACCCCAUAAUAUUUUGAAUGGCAUCAUUUAAAAUUGAAAACUCCGGUGGAUAGAGAUGGGCACGCGCAAGAUUAGAUAGUUGGUAGGGUAACGGCCUACCAAGUCAGUGAUCUUUAGGGGGCCUGAGAGGGUGAUCCCCCACACUGGUACUGAGACACGGACCAGACUCCUACGGGAGGCAGCAGUGAGGAAUAUUGGACAAUGGGUGAGAGCCUGAUCCAGCCAUCCCGCGUGAAGGACGACGGCCCUAUGGGUUGUAAACUUCUUUUGUACAGGGAUAAACCUAUUUACGUGUAAAUAGCUGAAGGUACUGUACGAAUAAGCACCGGCUAACUCCGUGCCAGCAGCCGCGGUAAUACGGAGGGUGCAAGCGUUAUCCGGAUUUAUUGGGUUUAAAGGGUCCGUAGGCGGAUCCGUAAGUCAGUGGUGAAAUCUCAUAGCUUAACUAUGAAACUGCCAUUGAUACUGCGGGUCUUGAGUAAGGUAGAAGUAGCUGGAAUAAGUAGUGUAGCGGUGAAAUGCAUAGAUAUUACUUAGAACACCAAUUGCGAAGGCAGGUUACUAUGUCUUAACUGACGCUGAUGGACGAAAGCGUGGGGAGCGAACAGGAUUAGAUACCCUGGUAGUCCACGCCGUAAACGAUGCUAACUCGUUUUGGGCUUUCGGGUUCAGAGACUAAGCGAAGUGAUAAGUUAGCACCUGGGGAGUACGAACGCAAGUUUGAAACUCAAAGGAAUUGACGG